AGUCGUACGCUUCUUUUUCACCGGAGCUUGCUCCACCGGAAAAAGAAGAGUGGCGAACGGGUGAGUAACACGUGGGUAACCUGCCCAUCAGAAGGGGAUAACACUUGGAAACAGGUGCUAAUACCGUAUAACAAUCGAAACCGCAUGGUUUUGAUUUGAAAGGCGCUUUCGGGUGUCGCUGAUGGAUGGACCCGCGGUGCAUUAGCUAGUUGGUGAGGUAACGGCUCACCAAGGCCACGAUGCAUAGCCGACCUGAGAGGGUGAUCGGCCACAUUGGGACUGAGACACGGCCCAAACUCCUACGGGAGGCAGCAGUAGGGAAUCUUCGGCAAUGGACGAAAGUCUGACCGAGCAACGCCGCGUGAGUGAAGAAGGUUUUCGGAUCGUAAAACUCUGUUGUUAGAGAAGAACAAGGAUGAGAGUAACUGUUCAUCCCUUGACGGUAUCUAACCAGAAAGCCACGGCUAACUACGUGCCAGCAGCCGCGGUAAUACGUAGGUGGCAAGCGUUGUCCGGAUUUAUUGGGCGUAAAGCGAGCGCAGGCGGUUUCUUAAGUCUGAUGUGAAAGCCCCCGGCUCAACCGGGGAGGGUCAUUGGAAACUGGGAGACUUGAGUGCAGAAGAGGAGAGUGGAAUUCCAUGUGUAGCGGUGAAAUGCGUAGAUAUAUGGAGGAACACCAGUGGCGAA
rnacentral:rRNA from 1 species